rnacentral:SRP_RNA from 1 species
CCGUGCUAGCCGGGGAAGUAGCGGCUCCCUGUAUCCGCAAUCCGCUGCAGCGGAGGUGACGCCCGUCCUUAGGCUCCUUUCUUGUGGGGUCUGCCCCCGCGUAAGUGAUGUUGAUGGCCAAGUCCCGCGCAAUGCCGUCCGGCGAACCGCGUCAGGUCUGGAAGGAAGCAGCGCUAAACCGGCAGCGGUAUGUGCCGCGGGAGCGCUUGACCGGAGUCAACUGCCGGGGUAACGCCCGGAAGAAAAUGUCGAAGGCGGGCGCACGG